UUAAUAAAUUUUGCGCUUUGCCAUUGUUGAAAUUUCCCAACACGCAAAUACAGUUCAGGUAACAAUCUCUUUUCCAAGUUCAAAUUUGAGUCGUAUCAUGUAUGCGUGAUUAUUGCUCUGUUUCAGCUUCUCAUUGGUUGUAUCAUGCAUUUUUGAUUGUGUGUUGUAUUUUCUGCUUUCUCUUUCAUCCCUUCAUUGUGAUAGGAUUGCGAUAGACUCUUGGUUUUCUUCUUAUUUUGAAUGUUUUGGUUCAUAAAGAUUUAUAAUUUCCUGAAUCGAAUGAAUUUUAUUAGAAGCUCACAAAUUUGACAAUUACUCCUAUGUCUUGGUCCAAAAAUGGAUACUUGAAGUUCAUGAAAUUGGUAUCUACUUAUGUGAAUGUUUAUGAUAAACAUGAAUAACAAAAUUGGUUAUCUCGAUUCUCUGCUCCAAUGAAAUGUGAUAUACAUUUAUUGGCGUAAAACCAUCCACUUCCAUGGCAUCGAUUCAAUACAGCAAUAAGCAGAAGAAGAAAUUGGAAAGAAGAGAUGUCAAGAAGAAUAGCAAAGAGAAACAAGACUUCUCAGAUAUUUCGGAGAUCCCUAAGAAGCUUUGAUCUUUGUCUAAAGAUGAGGUGGAACAAUCUGGACUCUUCAUCACAAAUGAGAAGGAUUGAAUUUUGUCCAUCUGAUUUAGUAACACCUGUACAUACUCAUCCCAUUCUAGAAAAACUUUGCUCACGUGAUUAGCACGUUGAGGAAUAUAAGUUUGUUAGAUUAGUUAUAGAGUAGACAACUAAAGAAAGGACAUGUGGAUAUUGAGUUUUCUUUUAUCAUUAGCUUUAUUCUGUGUAAUACUUGUAUAUAUACAGGUUUGGAGAUGAAUGAAAUUAUCAGAAAAUUUCCCAAAGUAUUUUUCUUUUCAUUCUUUCAUGGUAUCAGAGCAAUAGCUCGAUCAAAUCUCUUUUCUCACAAAUUUACAUUAUUCAUCACUGAUCUAUAAUACAAAAUGGAUCAAGAGAAAGAUGAAACUCAGGUGUUGAACACAUCGACUGCCUCAAAGACCACCACGAUCGACAUCAAUCAUUCAUAUCAUCUACACUCUUCAGAUUCGCCGGGAAUGAAUAUCAUCAGCUAUACCUUUGACGGGAAGGGAUUCCCAGGAUGGAGGAGGGCAGUGUUGAUAGCACUCUCAGCCAAGAAGAAGCUUGGCUUCAUCAAUGGAGGAUGCAAAGCUCCAGGUCUCGAUACAGCAGAGUAUGAACAAUGGAGCUGUUGCAAUGAUAUGGUGAUCUCAUGGUUGCUGAAUUCACUUUCCAGGGAAAUUGGAGACAGCGUAAUCUACUCCAAGACUGCCAAGGAGAUCUGGGAUAGCCUGGAAAACAGAUUCGGAAGAUGCAAUGGAGCAAAGAUGUAUCACCUGCAAAAGGAGGUAUCAAGCUUAGUACAAGGUACAAGUGAUAUAGCAAAUUACUUCACUAAACUUAAGAGGCUAUGGGAUGAAUUGGAUUCCCUUAAUGUUAUUAUAUCUUGUACUUGUGUGUGUGUAUGUGAAGGUAAGGGAAAGUUGGUUAAAUCACUGCAAGAUCAGAAACUAAUGCAGUUUCUGAUGGGGUUAAACGACGUCUACGCUCAUGCAAGAGGGAACAUCCUGAUGAUGAGCCCUUUGCCAAGCAUUGAUGUUGCAUACUCCCUUUUGUUGCAAGAUGAGAACCAACGAGAGGUUUAUGUUAAUGCAAACCCCUUAACCAACUCAGCAGCUUUUAUGGCAACAACACAAAGCAAGUGGAAUCACAGAAAUGGUAACCAAAUGAUGAGAGGAAACACUCAAUCACAGAAGUAUGAUAAUGGGGAACAAAGGAACGCAAAAUCAGUCCAAAGGUUCAGGUCUAGGAAGACUAAGUACAAUCCUAAUGUUACAUGCACUUACUGUGGAAAAACAGGACAUGUACAUGAUAACUGCUACAGGCUCAUUGGAUACCCUGAUGAUUUUGAAUUUACUAAGACAAGAGAAACUCAGGGAACAAUGAAGGCAAAUGCAGUCACAACUGAAGAAAAAUCUGAAGCAUUCCAGAACACACAAGAGGAUACAGCCUACAACAAUUACAACCAGUACAUGAGCAAAGAACAAUACACAAAUCUGGUGCAGCAGGUUACAAAAGAUGUCCUGAAGGAGAGUAGGACAACACCAACCACUGGUUUUAAUGGAAAUGUCAUUGCUGGUACCAUUCUGAGGAACUCCAGCUCAUGUUUAUCACUUAUUAAUUCUUGUACAUGGAUUAUUAAUUCCGGUGCUUCAGAACAUAUGUGUUUUGAUCCCAAUUCUUUUCUAUCACUCACUCCCCUUCCUGUGCCUUUAACUCUCACUUUGCCUAACUCUUUCAGGAUCAUUGUGACUCAUACAGGAAGUGUCUCUGUUCUUCCAAAUUUGACUCUGAAAAAUGUCCUAUAUGUACCUGUUUUCAAGCAUAAUCUGAUAUCUGUACACAGGUUAUCAAGUCAAAUUAAAUAUGAUGUGUUAUUUACUCUUAGUGGUUGUGUGUUACAUGACCCUUUAAUGAAGAACAUUCAAGUUUUUGGUGAUGUGAAUGAGGGAUUGUACCUGUUGAAGUCUUCUAGUAUUAGGUCUCAGUUUGUUUCUAAUGCUAAUGUAGUUUCAAUUCCACAAGGAAAUAGUUCCAUUCCUAGUUCAGGAUCAGUUCCUUUUUCUUUUUCUGCAAAUGUAGUCCCUUCUGUUGAUCUUUGGCAUGUAAGGUUAGGGCAUCUGCCCUUUUCUGCAAUGAGAAAAUACAGUUUCAUUCAUUUCCCUUCUAAAUUUGAACAUGUUUGUGAUAUUUGUCCUAAAGCUAGGCAGACUAGACUCACUUUUCCAUUAAGUGCUAUUCAUUCUACCAAGCUAUUUGAACUGAUCCACAUUGAUACUUGGGGACCAUACAAAUCACCCACUUACAAUGGUUUUCGAUACUUUCUUACUAUAGUUGAUGAUUAUAGUAGAGGUACUUGGACUUUCUUGUUAAGCUCUAAGAGUAAUGCUUUUCCUACUCUCAAGGAGUUUCUAGCUAUGAUAGAGAGACAAUUUCAUGCCCAAGUCAAGUGCAUUAGGUCUGACAAUGCACUAGAAUUGGGAACAGGUAUUCAGAAGGCUUCUUUUCUUAAGUUUCAAGGGAUUUUGCACCAAACUUCAUGUGUUGGAACUCCACAACAAAAUGGUGUUGUGGAGAGAAAACAUAGACAUUUAUUGGAAUUAGGGAGGGGACUGAUGUUUCAGUCUCACUUACCUAUUGAUUAUUGGGGAGAUUGCAUAUUAACAACUACAUAUUUGAUUAAUAGGUUGCCAUCCAAGGUACUACAUGGAAGAACACCAUAUGAAGUUUUUUUUGGUAAGCAGCUUAACUACGAAUUUUUGAGAAGCUUUGGAUGUCUCUGCAAUGCUUCAACUCAUUCUCAAAACAGAGAAAAGUUUGAACCAAGGGCAACAACUUGUGUCUUCCUAGGUUAUCCACAAGGUAAAAAGGGCUACAAGUUGUUAGAGCUCAACACUAAGAAAGUCUUUGUUUCCAGGGAUGUUCACUUCCAUGAGCAGUAAUUUCCUUUUGCCUCUAACAAAUCAUAUCACUCUCUUCCUCCAAUUUUCUCAUAUCAUAAUUCUACUCUGGAUACCCCAGAAUCUGUCUCUUGUCCUUCACCUUCUCCACAAGCUCUUGCACCUCCUGAUAUUACAUCCCCAGAUAUUGCGACACCUUCUCCCAUCAGUCCGAGUGUCAGCAGUCCGACCUCUUCUUCCCUUUCGUCUUCUUCUUCUUCUCCUCUCAUCACUGAAGGGAGAACUCAAAGAGUAAGACAUAAGCCAAGUUAUCUAGAGGACUACUAUUGCAAUAACAUCCAACUGACUGAUGUUACCACUGCAUGUUUUGUCCACCCUAGUACGCCCACUGCUUUCUCUUUUACUUCUUUGUCCCUUCCAAAUCAGCAUAUGUUUAACUCUAUUUCUGAUGUAGUUGAGCCUAAGAGUUUUGCCCAUGCUUCUCAACAUGCUGGCUGGAAAGCAGCAAUGGAUGCUGAAUUAGAGGCUCUUGCACUGAAUCACACUUGGGACAUUCUACAAUUACCACCAAGAAAGAAAGCUUUGCCUUGUAAAUGGGUUUACAAGGUAAAACACAGGUCAGAUGGGUCUGUUGAGAGAUUGAAGGCUCGCUUAGUAGUGAGGGGGGAUGUUCAACAAGAGGGUGUUGAUUUUUCAGAAACCUUCUCUCCGGUGGUCAAAAUGACCACUAUCCGGUGUCUACUCACAGUGGCUAUCAAGAAAGCAUGGCAGGUACAUCAAUUGGAUGUUAGCAAUGCGUUUCUUCAUGGUGACUUACAGGAAGAGGUAUACAUGAAGUGUCCUGCAGGUUUACCCUCUAUCAAGCCCAACCAAGUUUGUCUCCUCAGAAAGUCUUUGUAUGGGUUGCGCUAGGCAUCUCGACAAUGGUAUUCUAAGUUAGCUGGAGCUCUUGGUUUCAAAGGGUAUACUAGUUCCAUGAACGAUUACUCACUAUUCUUUAAGGCAUCUGGUUCUCUCACCUCCAUCAUCGCUGUCUAUGUUGAUGACAUCCUAAUUACAGGGGAUGACAUCUCAGAAAUUAAUCACAUCAUGCAAUUUCUUCAUACAGAAUUCAGAGUCAAGAAUCUAGGCGACAUUCACUAUUUUUUAGGAUUGGAAAUCCUACGAGAAAAAUAGGGAUUCAUCAUUAAUCAACGCAAGUUUACCUUGGAGUUGCUUGCUGAUUUCGAUUGUUCUGGUGUCGUUGUAUCUUCGCCGCUUGAUCCAUACUCUAAACUUCAUGUCGAUGACAGUCCACCCGUGACUAAUCCAACACUUUAUCGACAUUUGGUUGGGAAGCUCAAUUAUUUAACCCACACUAGGCCUGAUUUGUCCUUUGCUGUGUUGACACUCAGUCAACACAUGCAACAUCCCUCUGAAUCUCAUUAUCUUGCUGCUCUUCGAGUUUUGCGAUACCUACGCAAUGAUCCAAGUCAAGGUAUUUUGCUCUCCUCCGAUUCAACCUUUACUCUCUUAGCUUUCUGCGACGCCGACUGGGCCUCUUGUCGUGAAACUCGAAGAUCUGUCAGUGGUUACUUCAUCACUUUUGGUGGUGCUCCCAUUUCUUGGAAAUCCAAGAAACAAGCAUCCAUCUCCCUUUCAUCCGCCGAAACAAAGUACCGGUCUAUGCGACGUGUGACUGCUGAAAUUACUUGGUUGGUGCGUGUUCUUGCUGAUCUCUCUGUUCCUCCAGUACUCCCUAUCACAGUGAACUCCGACAGUCAAGCUGCCAUUAGCAUAGCCAAAAACCCAGUCUUUCACGAAAGAACGAAACACGUUGAGUUAGACUGCCACUUUGUGCGACAACAGUUCAUCGCUGGUCUGAUUACGCUUUCUUUCGUUCCAUCGAAGCAUCAGUUGGCUGAUUUGUUCACCAAACCGUUGUCUGGGGUUCCCCAUCGCCAUUUGUUGAACAAGUUGGGGGUCAUUUCUUCACCCUCCAACUUGAGGGGGGAUAUUGGCGUAAAACCAUCCACUUCCAUGGCAUCGAUUCAAUACAGCAAUAAGCAGAAGAAGAAAUUGGAAAGAAGAGAUGUCAAGAAGAAUAGCAAAGAGAAACAAGACUUCUCAGAUAUUUCGGAGAUCCCUAAGAAGCUUUGAUCUUUGUCUAGAGAUGAGGUGGAACAAUCUGGACUCUUCAUCACAAAUGAGAAGGAUUGAAUUUUGUCCAUCUGAUUUAGUAACACCUGUACAUACUCAUCCCAUUCUAGAAAAACUUUGCUCACGUGAUUAGCACGUUGAGGAAUAUAAGUUUGUUAGAUUAGUUAUAGAGUAGACAACUAAAGAAAGGACAUGUGGAUAUUGAGUUUUCUUUUAUCAUUAGCUUUAUUCUGUGUAAUACUUGUAUAUAUACAGGUUUGGAGAUGAAUGAAAUUAUCAGAAAAUUUCCCAAAGUAUUUUUCUUUUCAUUCUUUCAACAUUAAUAACAAAAUUGGUUAUCUCAAUUCUCGCUUUGGUGAUUCACAUAUGUGCGCUACGAACACCACUUGGUUAGUUGGUUUAAUCGUCGUAGAAAUAUUUUUCUUUUUGGGGUUUUAACUAUAACUUCGAGAAGCAUAUUAAAGGAGCUUUAGCAGUUCCCAUGGAGAAGACAGUGAAAUUUCAAAACUUAGUGACCUGUUCUAUUCUGUAAAGGUCUACCUGAAGGUAAAUGUUUCUUACUUCUUAGUAUUAAACUGAGUUGUAUUUGUCGUUCUAGAUCAUUAGGCUUUCUGAACUUUCGUGUUACUAUUGAGAAAUGAUAUAUUGUUUUAUCAAGAAUAGGUUGUUGUUGAUUAUUAUAUAUAUAUAAUCUUAUGUAAAAAUAUACGGUAAAAGAUGAAGAAAACGAAGAAUAAAAAGUUCUAGGUGAUGAGAAACAUGUCAUUAGAAGUAAAGUACAAGAAAUUAAAUGCACUAUCUAUAUCUAUCACAUUGAUCUAGAAGGACAAACAACAUCUUCUGCCUAUGAUGAACUACUUUCUACAUCUCAAAAGCAUUCAAUUAUAAUCUUCUUUGAUUGUUUGUAGAUACAAAUGCAGAUGACAAUUCAACUAGCUUUUUAUCAGUUUCACCACUUUCCUCUCUCCAAUUUGGAAGAUGGAUAGUGUGAGAUCUCAGCCAUCUUGUAGCAGGUGAAUCAAAGCCAUUAAUUAAUAUGCUUUGACAUAGGUAUUGCAGUGAAUUGUUGUUAUAAUUAAAUAACCCCCACAACAGUAGCCAAUUAUUUAUGCCUCUUGCUCCCUGACCUGCUUAAGCUUUUUUUUCCUUUAUGUCGUCUCAUUUGCAGUACAUGGACAACAAGAAUUAUUGGCAGGUUUUGAAAUUUGCAUUGAUUACUUUGCAUAAUUUUUCAGCUCAUUUCAAUAACACCUAAACUCAGAAUUAAUUAAUAACAUGAUUUUCUAUAUGUGCUUGAGCGAGUUUAUAGAGAAAAUGUAAUUGUUGUGAAUUAAUUUUUUUCUGCUGAAAAUUGUACUAUCCACUUUUAGGGAAUAAUGAUACCACCAGUUGACUUAUAUACGUGGCUAAAUUAUUUUUCUAGCUUUUCAUCCAUUUUGAUAAAAGUUGUCAUUUUUUU
rnacentral:lncRNA from 1 species